ACUCCAGAGCCGCCCGCCCCCCGCGCAGACACGCGCCCCGGCUGCGCUAGAGUCCGGACCCCGUGUUUGUAGGGGGUAGGGCGGGGUGUGGAUAUCCACAUAUACACUUGUACAUGUAUACACAUACAUGUGCACGUCAGUAUACAUACUUGGAAAGAGUGCGUGUGGCAGUGCACAUACACGUCUGCCUGUUUGUGUACACCUGCAUGCACGCACACAAACACGUGCACACUGUGCACACACAUGGUAUGCACAUGCACCCCAUACACUGCACUGUGUGUAUACACCUACACAUACAUAUGCGUGUGCAUGCAUGUACGUACACACAUGUACAUGCAUGUAUGUGGCUGCAUUGGCUCACAUACAGAGUGAGUGAGGCGAGCACCGGGUGGAUUUGAGCACUCGAUUCCCAGAGCAGUGGGUGCGGGGGACAGAGUUUGGUGGAGUCGCCCUUUACAAUGAGAUCCCUUUUAGCCCAGGGAGGUGAAUCCGGGCGACCCCUUUCACUGGAAGCUCAUGGGCACAUGCAGCCCUUGCUGGUGCUGUUCUUGUUUUUCCUAGCCCAUGCUGCCUGCCCAGCUGGACGUGGCCCAGGUGUAAGAGUUAAGGCUGGUUCAAUACUUAGAUUUCUGCAGUAACCUUAGGAAUGGUGUUGGUUGUCGUAUGCACCACGUAGACUCACUGAAUCAGAGAUGCGUCAGCUUUUGUAAGCAUCUGGCAAAAAUCAACUUUUUUUUCCAGCAACAUCCCAAAUAAAGAGACCUUACAAGAUUGUCUCGGUACAUGAAAUGUCAGUCUCAGCUGGGCUCCUUUGUGAUAUUAGCUCUAUUAGGCAUGUAAACACCUGCAUGUGAUUCACAAGACAAACCUCGAGAUUUCAGGUAGGAAGCCAUAGCUUCAGAAGCCGUUCGUAUCUGCUGUGGUCUAAGCUCUUGGCAAGAGGUAGGGGUGGGAGUCAGUCUACUAUUUUUCAUAAUGAAAAAAUGAGUGAAAUUUUUGAAAUGCAGGUGCCACAAAAUUCAGGCAAGUUACAGAAGGGCGCCUGGAGCUGAAAAAGGCUGAGAAACCAGUGUACUAGGUACAGGAAGCCAUGAUGAUAGCUUUCUCUACAGCAUCUUAAAUAGCAACUGGAUAUAUUUUUCAUGCCUGUUAAUGGGGACUGAUUUCAGAAAUGCUCCAGUGAAGACAUUAAGUAGGACUGGAAUUGUCUCCUUGUUUCUCCAGCACUUGACACUCCUCACUUCCCUCCCCAGCGCUCUGCGCCGUCUUCCCCAGGGCACUAAAGUUCCUGGUUAUGCCUCUGGCUUUGCUUACACAAAAAAUUGAACCAGUUUACCUCUGGUUUACUCAAUCUGGCCAAUUUAAGUAGUGCACACCAAUUCACAGGUGGUUUUCUUGGUGUAGCUUGUGUUGAUAACUUUUUUAAACCAAUUUUAAUUAAAUAGGCACAAUAUCUGGCUCGGUGAGGCCUGAAACAUUAUUUCCCACACCCUUUGCAUAGUCAUGCAUGCACAUAGGAAAAGAAAGGAGAAAGUGCUUGAUGAAGUUACGGAACCACUUUGAUCUCAGUUAAUUUACUACAUAUCUGCUCCCUGACAUAGGAAGUUGCUUGGCUUACCUUUCUAGUAGGAUCUAUUCAUUUAGCAAUAGCAGUUAUAAUUAUGCUUUAAAAAUACUUACAGUAAAAUCUGAUUUCACAUGCUCCUGCAUUUUGGGGGGAGGGGAAAAAUCUUGACUAGAAAGUCUCACUUCUUGAAUGAAACUUUCCGUGCUUCAAAGCUCUCAAAGCUAAACAGAAUUAUUGAAAACUAGGGUUGGAAGGGACCUCAGGAGGUCACCUAGUCUAAUGCCCUGCUUGAAGCAGGACUACCCCCAACUACAUCACCCCACCAAGGCUUUUAAAAUUUCCAAGUGAACAUAAGUAAUAGGUUUAGAUGCCAAAAAUGAGUCCAGUAAGGCAGUUAUUUUAGUACUGUAGUGUAUAUGAAUCAUUGUGUUCCUGUGAACUUGAACGUGUAGGAAGAAUUAUAUUUGUCAAUCUUCUUUUGUUAAAUAGAAACCAAAAGACUUAUCUAGGCAGAAUUGUGGUGGGGGAUAUUUAUUCCAGUUUUUGCUAUAAUUUUAAAUCUUCCAAUUUGAAUGUUGUAUCACUGGGAUUUUUACCUUUAAAUGGGUAAAGUAUUGUCAUGAAAUACUGUAUGAUGCACACCCAAAGAGAAAGUACAAUGUAUUUUAAGGUUGGGAAAUGAUAUUAGAGCAAAUAGAAGCAAAAGUGUCUAGCCAAACCAAUAAUUACCCUUCCAUGAAUACUAGAUUCUGUUUCUCACCUGUCUAAACGCUUUCCUCUGGUGAGAUAGUAUCAUCUUUUUACAUUAAUCUUAGGAUUUAGUAUGGGAUAUUUUAAAAAUUGCUCUUCUGUGUAAAGUUAAGACUAACAGUCCUGAUUUCCUCAAUGCUGGAAAAAGCCCCUCUUCUUCCUGAUUUACAUACUUAGAAACAUGUUUCUAUUUUAACAAUGAUUGAUGGAGGUUGGGUGUUUUGCUUUUGUUUUGGCGAGUCUCUGCUUUUACAUUGGUACGUGGUAUCAUAACUGAUAGGUGAUUUCCCUUGUGGAGUGGGGGGUGGGGUUCCAAAGAGGAAAUCAUCCACUAUGAAUGCUUUGGGCUUGAUUCAGUACUCUGUAAAGUCAAUGAAAAGACUCCCAUUCAUCUCAGUGUCAAUUGGAUUGGAUCCUUAAAAUGGCUUUUCUUGGGGAAACAAGAAAGAUUAAAAAUAGAUUUAAAAAAUAAAAAAAAAGGAGGCUUAAAAAUAGAAUGAAAAGUUUUGAUUUUUAAGCUGCUAGUUCAGGUCUAGUAAAGGCUGGUAGGGAAUAAAAGUCGUAACUGUUUGGGAACCUUUUGGCCUUUUUGAAGAUAGGCUAGUAUGAUUUGUGGUGGAAAAGCAUCAAACCCUACUUUCCAGCUUUUCUUGUGCUGUUUUCAAGGUUGCUUUGAAGACUGUUUGUUGGCUCUGUUAAUAUCUUUGGAAAUGGUGAUUUGUAUCGGACAUGGAACUUUUGUAACUCUUGGAAAGGAUUUCUAAAUGUAUUGUCUACAGAACUAACCGUGGGUAUUUUUAGAGUCCAAAAUGUGAACUGAUUCACUAAUUGAGAAAUUAACUGUUUUUUCUUCUUCUUUCAGCGCUACAACUUGUUGUGAAGCAUUUCCAGCUGCUCCACUUGUGCAUAUUUUCAAACAGGCAGGAUCUUUUGAAGACGACACCUCAUGUUAUAUUAUUAAAAUGGCUAUCCAUACAAGGCUGAGUGUAAAAAUGAAAAUGCUGACAGGUUCAAGCAGGACAGUUUCAGGAAUGUAUGACUUGAGAGAGGCAGCCAGACAGACAAUCCAAAUGCUUCAGUUGGCAGGAUGAAGUGAUAUGCUAAUGUAAGAGAAAAGGUGGGUGUACAAUGGCAAGGAAAUAAAUACCCGUUAAAAA